UGACGCCUCACACUCAUCUCUGACUCUCGCGUGCACUGUCAGGAGAGGAAGUAUAAAGAGAAAGAAAAAAACUGCGCGAGAAAGAGUUCCUCGGGCUGAUGGCCCUGAAACAAGGGUUUAAACUCCUAGACUGACUGCUGAUGUUCUGCCCAGUCAAGGAGUAGGAGAUAGGAUGGAAAGACAAGAUCUUCAGUGCACUACACUGUGUCUUAUUCAACAUAUUGCUUGGACCUUCUGCAAGGAACACUGUAGCAUAUAUAGUGUUGUCAGAGGUUCUCAUUCUUGAUGGUGAGCAGGUUAACCAACCUGUUAUUGGACACGUGGAGACAUUGGUUGGACGGGGCUCAAAAUGCAUUCCUGGUUUGGAUGGGUCAUUGCAACCUGGAGUACCUCCAACAAGCCAAACAUUGACUCCUUAUUAGGCUCGAUGGGCUCCUUUCUUUGACCAGUUUGAUUUCACUUUAUUUUACUGUCCAGGCACCAAGAAGAAACCAGCAGCUUUCUCCAGACAAUUCCCUUCGCUUAUAGGUCACUGUGUGUCCCAUCAUUCAUGCAUCUCAGUUUGUUGAACUUUUUCAUUAAGGA